rnacentral:tRNA from 1 species
GCGUUGGUGGUUCAGUGGGAGAAUUCUUGCCUUCCAUGCAGGAGACCCAAGUUCGAUUCCCGGCCAAUGUA